UAGGGGGCGAGCGUUAUCCGGAUUUACUGGGUGUAAAGGGAGCGUAGACGGCCAUGCAAGCUCGGUGUGAAAGGUGCGGGCACAACCCGCAGACUGCACUGAGAACUGUGUGGCUGGAGUGCCGGAGGGGCAGGCGGAAUUCCUGGUGUAGCGGUGAAAUGCGUAGAUAUCAGGAGGAACACCGGUGGCGAAGGCGGCCUGCUGGACGGCGACUGACGUUGAGGCUCGAGAGCGUGGGGAGCGAA
rnacentral:rRNA from 1 species